UCUCGCAAAAUGUCGAGGAGAGUGAAAUGCAUUGUUCACUCUGUCACCAAGGAGAGAGUGAAAUGUGCUUUUCACUCUCCCCUUCAGAGAGAGGGAGUGAAAAGACUCUUGCGACAAUAGAAAAGAGAGACUCUUGCGGCAAUAAAAAACAAAACGUAGCGUAAUCUUCUGCUUCAACUGUAGGUGGCUGGCCCCGAACAUGGCAAUGUAUCAUUCAUGCACGCUGAGCAAAGAACACAUCGUUUUGCUUCUAAGAGAACAGGCCGCCGCAGUUCAAAGGAACGCGUAGCGAGCGCUCUACUUUUUCACUCGGAGUGGCUCCACCGCGCGCGCGCGCGCUCAAGAUCGCGGAACAACACAGCAGCGGAGAAAGGUCACGUGAGAAAGGUGAUCCGUCCACCAUAGCGUCCACCGAGCAACAGCGAAGGCCAGCCAAGGGAGAUCGUGUGUCAGCCAUCUCGCGUCGCAACGAAAACACGACAGUCGUUCGUCAUGCCUUGGAUAUAACAACAAAUCCUCCACGGCACCCGCUUUAUAUAACGCAAGAAGGCAGCUGCAAGGACACGAGGAUGUGAAAGAGCCAGUGCAGCGCGACUUCACGUAGUGCAGAGGAGCCAAUGCCAAAAAAUCAAAAUACAUUGGCAUGUUAUUUGGACAAGAAAACUAGGACAACCCAGGACGUGCAUUUCUCAGCACCCAGUCAACUGCCAAAAGUGACUCAAACACAGGCCACCAGU